rnacentral:lncRNA from 1 species
GGAUCUCAAACAAGAGUUGUCAGAGGCAAUUUGCAUACCUGCUUCCAGAUAAUUUGCUUACAGUUCUUCGGCUACACUCCUCCCUUCUACCCGCCUCCACCCAGCCCCGGGCUCCCGGUUCAAAGCGGUAAAGUGAGGACGACAGGCGACAAAACCCCUUUCAGGGCCCUCACCCUGUCUGCACACCCCGUUAGAAGGCUGGCCUGGGGGGAAGACUCGAGAUCAGAGCUGUGGGCCCCCAAGGCGGCCCCGCGGGGCUUUCCGCCAGACACCGCCUCCCCACGCCCGGACACCAUCUGCUUCCUCCCGGAGUCAUCAAAAGCCAGUGCACGUGCUCGCGCCCCACCCCCGCCCACUCAGAGAGGCCCCGGGCGCCUUGUUUAUUCAGCCCGCUCCAGGCUUCUCCUCCCGCUGGCCUCCCGGAGAGUUCCUCUUUCGGGAGUCUGCAACCGUGCGCGGGGCGGAUGCCGGGGUAGUACGCUGCACCCUCUUCCCUGCCCGGUGGUACAGAAGGGUCAGACCCGGCGCAGUCUGCAGUUUCCGGCCACGGCGACGACACCAGUCCCGCAGGGAGGAGGCCAAACGGGGACCAGGGGCCAACUGGCCUGGGAACUUCCGUCCCGGCUCCCUGACACCGGAGGCCCCCUGGGAAGUCCCAGCAGAUGUGUCCAGGGUCAGAGACCUCGGAGCCAAGGAUGGGGCAGAGGUCUGAGACAUGAAGCUGGAAAACCAAGUCCAGUCUUGCUGAACCCUGACCCCUUUACACACCCAAUAAGGAAGGUGAAGGACUUGAGGUAUCUGACUGAGAGGGCUGGAUUCUGUCUUCAUCUUAGCUGAUAUUUUGUUCGUCAUGGAUUUUUGUUUCUUUCAUUAACUUUAAUUUUUUUUUAAUAUUGUAUUAACACAUUAUUUAUC